GCUCCGUUAGCUCAGCUGGUGAGAGCGCCGGCCGGUCAAGCCGGAGACCGCCGGUUCGAACCCGAUACGGGGCG
rnacentral:tRNA from 1 species